rnacentral:rRNA from 1 species
UUAAAGGGCUGCAGUAUAUUGACUGUACAAAGGUAGCAUAAUCAUUAGUCAUUUAAUUGAUGACUUGUAUGAAGGAUUGGAUGAAAUAUAAACUGUCUCUUAACUAUAUUUAGAAUUUAAUUUUUUAGUUAAAAAGUUAAAAUAAAUUAGAAAGACGAGAAGACCCUAUAGAGUUUUAUAGAUAAAAUUAAUUGAGAUUAUUUGUAAAGGUUAAAAUUAAAAUUAAUUUAUUUAUUUUGUUGGGGUGACAGAAAAAUAUGAAAAACUUUUUAUAUGUUUAAAACAUUAAUAAGUGGUUAAAUGAUCCAGUAUUAUUGAUUAUAAGAAAAAAUUACCUUAGGGAUAACAGCGUAAUUUUUUUUUUUAGUUCACAUAAAAAAAAAAGUUUGCGACCUCGAUGUUGGAUUAAGAUAAAAUUUAAAUGCAGAAG